ACCUGAAUUCAAAUCAAGCCCCAGAUACUUACUGGGAUUUUGUUUUGGAUAAAUCAUGUUAUCACCAGGACAAUCCUGACCAUUCAAUUUUAUUUUUAUAAUCAGGAUUCAAGUUGGGAACUCUCCUCACUCUUAAGGUGCUUCCCCUUUCAGAAAUGUUUGUACAAGCAAAACAAAUGUAACCAAGUUUAGAAGAGAAACAACAAACUGGGGAAAAUGUUUAAUAAAUUUCUCUGAUGGAUGUCUCA
rnacentral:lncRNA from 1 species